UAAGUCUCAGUUCGGAUCGCAGGCUGCAACCCGCCUGCGUGAAGCCGGAAUUGCUAGUAAUCGCGGAUCAGCAUGCCGCGGUGAAUACGUUCCCGGGCCUUGUACACACCCGCCCGUCACACCAUGAGAGGCCGGGGGGACCCGAAGUCGGUAGUCUAACCGUAAGGAGGACGCCGCCGAAGGUAAAAACUGGUGAUUGGGGUGAAGUCGUAACAAGGUACC
rnacentral:rRNA from 1 species